GCUUAACGCGAAGAACCUUACCAGCCCUUGACAUCCCGAUCGCGGUUCGUGGAGACACGUUCCUUCAGUUCGGCUGGAUCGGAGACAGGUGCUGCAUGGCUGUCGUCAGCUCGUGUCGUGAGGUGUUGGGUUAAGUCCCGCAACGAGCGCAACCCUCGCCCUUAGUUGCCAGCAUUCAGUUGGGCACUCUAAGGGGACUGCCGGUGAUAAGCCGAGAGGAAGGUGGGGAUGACGUCAAGUCCUCAUGGCCCUUACGGGCUGGGCUACACACGUGCUACAAUGGUGGUGACAGUGGGCAGCGAGACCGCGAGGUCGAGCUAAUCUCCAAAAGCCAUCUCAGUUCGGAUUGCACUCUGCAACUCGAGUGCAUGAAGUUGGAAUCGCUAGUAAUCGCGGAUCAGCAUGCCGCGGUGAAUACGUUCCCGGGUCUUGUACACACCG
rnacentral:rRNA from 1 species